CCAUUGAGAGAAGCCGCUCUGAGCUGAUACGGCUCAUCAGAGAUCAGGAAAAGACUGCAGUGAGUCGAGCUGAAGGACGACUGGAGCGACUGGAGCAGGAGAUCAAUGAUCUGAGGAGGAGAGACGCUGAGCUGGAGCAGCUGGAGCACACACAGGAUCACAUCCAGUUCCUGCAGAGUUUCCAGUCUCUCUCAGCACCUCCUGAAUCUACAGACGUAAAUGAUGAUCUCUUCAGUUCUCUCGUCUCUUCUGAUGCUCUGAGAGAAUCUGUUCAUCAGCUGAGAGACAAACUGGAGGAUUUCUGCAAAGAGGAGCUCAAGAAGAUCUCAGACAGAGUCAUUUCCAC